GACGAACGCUGGCGGCGUGCUUAACACAUGCAAGUCGAACGGAAAGGCCCUGCUUUUGUGGGGUGCUCGAGUGGCGAACGGGUGAGUAACACGUGAGUCACCUGCCCUUGACUUUGUGAUAACUUCAGGAAACUGGGGCUAAUACCGGAUAGGAGCUCCUGCUGCAUGGUGGGGGUUGGACCGUUUCGGCGGUUGGGGAUGGACUCGCGGCUUAUCAGCUUGUUGGUGGGGUAGUGGCUUACCAAGGCUUUGACGGGUAGCCGGCCUGAGAGGGUGACCGGCGACAUGGGGACUGAGAGACGGAGCAGAGGGGAAAGGGAGGCAGCAGGGGGGAAUAUUGCACAAUGGGCGGAAGCCUGAGGAAGAAACGUCGCGUGCGGGAUGAAGGCCUUGGGGGUGGAAACCGCAGUAGGCUGUGACGAAGCGGGAGUGACGGUAAUGGGUAAAGAAGCACCGGCUAACUACGUG
rnacentral:rRNA from 1 species